UACGGAGGGGUGCAAGCGUUGCUCGGAAUUAUUGGGCGUAAAGGGUAGGUAGGUGGUCUCGUUUGUCCGGGGUGAAAUCCUUGAGCUUAACUCAAGAAGUGCCCUAGAAAACGGCGAGACUAGAGUCCUGGAGAGGGUCGUGGAAUUCCCGGUGUAGCGGUGAAAUGCGUAGAGAUCGGGAGGAACACCAGAGGCGAAGGCGGCGACCUGGACAGGCACUGACACUCAACUACGAAAGCGUGGGGAGCAAACAGG
rnacentral:rRNA from 1 species